AAUUAGACCCGGCCCAAUUAAACUGAGCCCAAGUUGCGAUUUCGGACGAAUCCAUCACGCGUGCCAAUGAAGAGUGUUUUGUUGGUAAAGACAGGAACAAGAGAAAUGAGAGAGUGAUUCUUCGGAUGGUCAAAUCUGAAUUCGAGUCAAUGACCGUCCGUGCAUGGCUUAACCCGAGAUGGAGAAAGGUGACACGCACGACACAGCGGACUUAUAUCCCUGAGACAUGCGCAACACUACGGAAUGAGUCGUGUAGAGAAUUGCGAUCACGUAGCUGACCAGAAAGCCAGAUGGCCUUAUUUGUUCGAGUAUUUGCGAUAACAUUCUCCGCAAUCCGAGCAAUUUCUCGAGUCCAAUAGACGUGUCGAUCGACAUAUCAGUGGCCUCGGAUUUUCUCUCUCUCUCUCUCUCUCUCUCUCUCUCUCUCUCUCUCUCUCUCUCUCUCCUUCCUUCUUCCCAAGGACCUCCCGUUUCUUCUUGUACAGUUGAGAUAUGCCUCCUAGAGGCUACGCUCUGGUGUUCUUCUUCUGGGCUCUGCUCGCCAUCAUCACCCCAACUCUUGUUGUAUGGUCAGCAUCAGCAAAACAAAGUUAUGAUCCCAUAGAGGCGUCAUAUGAUGUGAAGGUGAGCAGGAGAACGAUGGGCAUUACAGAGACUGGCCAGUCGAAGAACACCACAGCGAGGACAACGGUACGAGCUCCAAGACUAGCGCCAGCUCCAGCUCCAGCUCCAGCUCCUUUGACAGGGAAUGACACAAGCAGCUGACGGACAUCAGUUAUCUGAUCGUGUUUUCGAGGAAUCAAUAAAGAGAAUGGAUGCCAAUGAAGUGAAACCGGUGGAUGAAGCACUCAUAUCUUUUCUGCAUUUGGGGUUGCAUGACGGCUGAUUGAUCUGCUAAUUAACACGAUGAUGGACUUCUACAUUACCUUCGAACUAUGUGUUCUGUUUUCUUCCCCGCAAUAAUUGUCGGUGAUGCUUUGUGUAGCACUUGUUGUGCUUAUCCCAGGGACGAAUUUGCGUCGGUACACUGCUAAACACCACAAGUGGAAUCAAUCCCGUGAAUUUAAUCUCAGAAAUGGUUUUCGUUUGUCAA